rnacentral:tRNA from 1 species
GGUAAAGUGGCUGAGUGUUUAAGCGGUAAGCUGUAGUCUUAUUAACGGGGGUUUAAUUCCUCUUUUUAC